GUGGGGAAUAUUGGACAAUGGGCGAAAGCCUGAUCCAGCCAUGCCGCGUGUGUGAAGAAGGUCUUCGGAUUGUAAAGCACUUUAAGUUGGGAGGAAGGGCAGUAAGUUAAUACCUUGCUGUUUUGACGUUACCGACAGAAUAAGCACCGGCUAACUUCGUGCCAGCAUCCGCGGUAAUACGAAGGGUGCAAGCGUUAAUCGGAAUUACUGGGCGUAAAGCGCGCGUAGGUGGUUUUGUAAGUUGGAGGUGAAAUCCCCGGGCUCAACCUGGGAACUGCCUCCAAAUCUGCAUGACUAGAGUACGGUAGAGGGUAGUGGAAUUUCCUGUGUAGCGGUGAAAUGCGUAGAUAUAGGAAGGAACACCAGUGGCGAAGGCGACUACCUGGACUGAUACUGACACUGAGGUGCGAAAGCGUGGGGAGCAAACAGGAUUAGAUACCCCUGUAGUCC
rnacentral:rRNA from 1 species